GGGCCACCUAGAGAAGAGGCUGUGCUCGGGGGCUCCGGCUCCUCAGAGAGCCUCGGCUAGGAUCUAAUCAGUUUGAAAAGAGCCCCUAUCAGAGCAACAUGAAUUCUAAAAUUGAAGCAAGAACAAACAUCAAAUUUAUGGUGAAACUUGGAUGGAAGAAUGGUGAAAUCAUUGAUGCUUUACGAAAAGUUUAUGGGGAUAAUGCCCCAAAGAAAUCAGCAGUUUACAAAUGGAUAACUCGUUUUAAGAAGGGAAGAGACGAUGUUGAAGAUGAAGCCCGCAGUGGCAGGCCAUCCACAUCCAUUUGCAAGAAAAAAAUUAAUCUUGUUCGUGCCCUAAUUGAAGAGGGCCGACCAUUAACAGCAGAAACAAUAGCCAACACCACAGACAUCUCAAUUGGUUCAGCAUACACAAUUUUGACUGAAAAAUUACAAUUGGGCAAACUUUCUACCCGAUGGGUGCCGAAACUGUUGCAUCCACAUCAGCUGCAGACAAGAGCAGAACAUUCAAGGGAAAUUUUAAACAAGUGGGAUCAAGAUCCUGAAGCAUUUCUUCGAAGAAUUGUAACAGGAGAUGAAACAUGGCUUUACCAGUAUGAUCCUGAAGACAAAGCACAAUCAAAAUAAAAGCUACCAAGAGGUGGAAGUGCUCCAGUCAAAGCAAGAGCAGACCAGUCAAGAGCAAAGGUCAUGGCACCAGUUUAGGAUGCUUAAGGCAUUUUGCUCGUUAACUUUCUGGAGGGCUAAAAAACAGUAGGAAAAGCUUUACCCAGAGUCCUUUCCCACCACAACAAUACUCCUGUUCAUCCCUCUCAUCAAACAAGGCAAUUUUGUGAGUUUCAAUGGGAAAUCAUUAGGCAUCCAUCUUACAGUCCUGAUUUGGCUCCUUCUGACUUUUUUGUUCCUAAUCUUAAAAUAAUAUUUAAAGGGUACCUAUUUUUCUUCAGUUGAUAGUGUAAAAAAAGACUGCAUUGAUAUAGCUAAAUUCCCAGCACCCUCAGUUCUUAUAGGGAAGGAUUAAGUGGCUUUUAUCACUUGUAAGAGUGUCUUGCAUUUGAUGGAGCUUAUGUUAAAUAGAGUUUAUAUUUUGUGUGCUUCUCCAGAAUACUUUUUUUCUUAUCCAUGAUUCCUCAUUCUUGAUGGAGUGGGUAAGAAAUUAGAUAUUAGAGUACUGUUAGUGAUCAUGGAGUUAAAUAUUUAGACUUAUUUUAUCUAGACCAGGGUUGAACCUGGUGAAUUAUUCCUGCUCUGUUACGGAGUGUAUUUUCUUGGUGACUAGAGAGAUUAUUUCUGCCUCUCUGUAUUUCUGAAUCAUGGUUAUGUUAAUAAUCCUGCACUACAGCUUUUCCUAGAGUUCAGAGUUAUCACUGACCUUUAGUUUGUCCUGGUACUUUGUCAUCCUUUGUUUUCUAGUUUUUUUUUAAAACAUGUUUAAGAUCAGCUCUUCCUGCUGACAACAGUAACACAUUUUCAGGUCAUGUUUACAGACUUGAUUAUUUUAUUAUAUAAAUAGUCCCAUCUGUAGUGUAUAUACUCUAGUCUACUCAGUCAGCAGUUUUCAUAGUCUUUCUUCCUUUUACUGACCUUUGGUUAAAAUCUCAUUCCAGACUUUGUGGUAUUGCUUACUAUAACAAAUAAUGGCAACAUAUUAUAAUGUAUGUUAUAGGAAAAAGCUAAUGGAAACAUGGGUAGGUUAGAAAAAAUGAAGUGUUCACUGAGUGCUUUUUGUGUACUAAGUAACUAAAUGCAGAUAUGGUGGAAAUAGCAAGAGAAUUAGAAUUAGAAGUGGAGCCUGAUGAUAUGACUGAAUUGCUGCAAUAUCAUAAAACUUUAAAUGGAUGGGGAAUUGGUUUUUAUGAUGAGCAGGGAAAGUGAUUUCUUUCUGGUGAAAAUGCUGUGAACAUAGUUGAAACGAUGACAAAGGAUUUAGAAUAUUACAUAAACUUAAUUGAUGAAGCAGUGGCAGAGUUUGAGUGGACUGACUCCAAUUCGGAAAGAAGUUCUGCUAUGGGUAAAAUGCUAUCAGACAGCAUCGUCAAUUGAUGCAGCAAACUUCAUUGUCUUAUUAUAAGAAACUGCAUGGCCACCCAACCUUCAACAACUCACCCUGAUCACUCAGCAGCCAUCAACAUCGAGGUAGAACCCUCCAGCAGCAAAAAGGUCUAACUCACUGAAGGCUCAGAUGAUUGCUAGCAUUUUUUAGCAAUAUUUUAAAAUUAAGGUAUGUACAUUUUUAAAGAUAUAAUGCUAUUGCACACUUAAUACAGUAUAGUAUAAACAUAACUUUAAUAUGUACUGGGAAACCAAAAAAUUCAUGUGACUUGCUUUAUUGCAGUGGUCUGGAACUGAAUCCGCAGUAUCUCUGAGGUAUGCCUGUCUGUAUAUUUAGUGUGGUCCUUAUAUAUUUAAAAAAAAAAAAAAAAAAUUACACAAUAGGAAACUAAAGCUCAGUGAGAUUGAACAAUUUUCUUUAGCUAUCUCAGGCCAGGAAUCCAAACUCUGGUCUUGAUUGACAGUUGCUAUUUUUAACCGUUUUGUCCACCUGGUUCUAAUGGACACAAAACAUUAUUUUAGGAAAUUUAACCUGGCUGCAGAUACAGGAUAGGUUAUAGGGAUGAAGAAAUUUGAAAGCAGAGACCACUUAUGAGAUUCUCUUACAGUAGUCCAGCCAUGAAGUGAUGAGAUCUGGUCUCAUCUAGUGCUGGCAAUCAAAAUGGAAAGGAAAUUAAAGGAUUCAGUAACUGACCAAAUGUCAGUCACUGAGAGGGACAAUGGUCUCAGAAUAUCACUUCUGAAGCCUUCCUUGAUGCCCUCACCCCUACAACACUGGGUCCCCAUGUAAAUUUUGUAAUGGCUCUCCUCACAAUUGUAAUUAAAUUAAUCAUUGUGUAAUUCUUGUUUCUUUCCUACUUCUUCAGGUUGGUCCUUGAGGACAAUGCUUAUUUAUGGCUGUAUCCCUGUUGCCUGAGCACAGGGAAGUGUGUGAGGUCAAAACUAUUUAGAUAAUAACCAGAUGUUUGCCUUUUUCACUUAUUCUUGCAAGAGUGCUGCAGAGGCUACUGAUGUGUGAUGACAUCCUCUCUCUGAUGUUAACAAAUGGUGCUACAUAUCCUUGGGUUUUUAUAAGGUGGUAGGUAGGUUUAGGUAUGAGUAUUUGUGUUUUUAGAAAUUAACUCGUUAUACCUUCUGUAAUCUCAACACUAUAAUUGUUACUUUAAAAUCCUGUAGUCUUCCUUGUGCCUAAGCAUAAACAUAAGUACAUUUUGUUGUUGUUUUGCAGUUUAAAAUAUUUUCUCAAAACGUCCAAAUUUUACUUUAAAGUUUAUAGUUUUUCUUAUAUUUAAGAAUGGAUCAUUAGCUUAAAAAAGAAGAGACUACUUGUUGAACCCAAGCUAUACCAUCUAUGUCUAAAAAUGCUAAAGUACAAGAUUGAUUCAGAAGGAUUGACUGAAAAGAAACUAUAAGAAAUGAAAAUAUGAAAGCUAUGUUUCUUCUGGUUUUAGAGAUAUUAAUUUACCUUAUUGUGUAUAUGUAGUAGAAUAAUUUUGUGUACUGUUGGUGGUAGCAAAGUUGAAUCAUUUGGAAACCAGUGAUUUUUAAAGGUAUUGAAUAUCUUAACUUCAGAUGUGAGGCUUCUUAAAAGAAAAAAAAUUACAUUUUCAAACUAGACAUGAUAAAACUACUGAAGUAUCUUAAAGGGCAAGUUAUUGUAUUAUAUUGGCUGGAGAAACAUACACAAUAGCUGAGAAGCUUUAAGGAGCAUUCUUGGACGAAAAGCAAGUGAAAAAUCACAGUAGUGCCACUUUUGAACAAUGCAAGUUGUUGGAUUUGUGUGCAGACAUGAACUCUGUUAAUAUCUCAUCUAUAGACGUGUACAGUCAUCCCUUGGUAUCUAUAGGGCACUGGUUCCAGGACAACCAACACUCGUGAGGAUACUGCAGAUGUUCAAGUCCCUUGUAUAAAAUGGUGUACUAUUUGUAUGACUUAAGCACAUCCUCUCAUAUUCUUUAAAUCAUCUCUAGAUUACUUAUGAUACUUAAUGCAAUGUAAAAUGCUAUGUAAAUACUUAAACUGUGUUUUUUAUUUGUAUUAAUUUUUAUUUAUUCCCCCCCCCCCCCAAUAUUUUCGAUCUGUAGUUGGUUAAGUCUUUGGAUGUGGAACCCGUGGAUAUGAGGGCCCACUGUACUUAAACCUUAUAAAUGGAUCAAUCUACAAAUGUGGCUGGACUUGUUGACUUUGCUUGUAUUUGCCUGGCAUCAGCAUGAACUAAUCAGAUACUCUCAUACGAAAGCUUGGCAAUAAACACAACAUAUCCUGAAA